UACGGAGGGGGUUAGCGUUGUUCGGAAUGACUGGGCGUAAAGCGCGCGUAGGCGGAUCAUCAAGUCGGGGGUGAAAUCCCGGGGCUCAACCCCGGAAUGGCCUUCGAGACUGGUGGUCUUGAGUUCGAGAGAGGUGAGUGGAAUUCCGAGUGUAGAGGUGAAAUUCGUAGAUAUUCGGAGGAACACCAGUGGCGAAGGCGACUGACUGGACAUGUAUUGACGCUGAGGUGCGAAAGCGUGGGGAGCAAACAGG
rnacentral:rRNA from 1 species